CCUGCGUUAUCACUCUGUGGUACCAGUGGACUCCCCUGGACAUCUCUGACCACAGCUUGCCCUGGUUUGGCCCUGCCAGGAUGCCAACGGACAGCUCCCCCCAGCCACGGUACUAAAUAUGUGGGUUUGAGUAAGUAAGUGGAUCUUGGGCUGGGAUUAUGGUUGGAAAUCUGUUUUGGGCCACCUCACAGCAUGUCCCUGUUGCACCUGGGGACUCUCCUGGUCAUCUCUGACCAGAGUCAUAGUAUCAUAGUACUUGGGGGUGGAAGGGACCUAAGCAGCUCAUCAGGUCCGACUCCCUCCCUCAGGCAGGAAUGGGUGCCAGGAUCAUAUCACCCCAGCCAAAUAUCUGCCCAGCCUCCUCUUGAAGACGCCCAAGAGACACGCUGCGUCAGCCUCCAGGUGUGAGACAGGGCUGGGCUUGCACACAACCUGAUGGUGCUCACAAAGAGGGACUCCAACCAGGACUAGACCCUGCCAGGGUUUCCCUCCAGGGCACUGUGACAGCGGCUGAGGAAAGGGACUCCAACAACAGCUCCUAACAAACACCAUUUAUUGUCUGUGCACCAGAGCUGCGGCUGAAGAGGAUCUUUCAUGGAUAUCACAUGCUUACUGCGCCUUGAGAUGAACGGACUGGAAGACGGACGGAUCUUGGUUGAGCGACUGUGUGCUGAGAUUAGUCCUCAAGAGCUCGAUGUCUUCAAAUCCCUGAGCAGUGGCCAUGGAGAGGACAGAGACGUGUCCUGUUUUCUUCAGCCACAGAAACAGACUCAGAGGAAAUCAAGAAUUGCAGCAGGGGACAUUUAGGUUCGAUAGAAGACCUUUCGCACUAUAUGAGGGUGAUUUUUUUAGGUUUUUGUGAGCAUGGAAACGGGCUACCCAGAGAGUUGUGCCAUCUCCAUGCUUGCCAAGGCGUGAGAACAGGGUCGAUGCUUGGCUGGCCGGGUUUGUAGGGGUGAUCCUGCCUCGAGCAGGGGGUGACUGGACGGCCCCGACGUCUCUUCCAGUCCCGGGUUUGAUGAUUCGGUGCCCUCUCGGUGUGCUACUAAAGGGACAGGAGCAGCAGCAUAAGAAGAUCAGAUCAAACCCGUUUUGUCACAGAAGAGUGAAAGACAUGCUCCAUUUGUUAGAGAGGCUCCAUGGCCUCGUUUGGAAAAGGGGGGUGAAGUAGCAGAAUAAAAAGUCAUUUGGGGA